CCUGGCGGCCGUAGCGCGGUGGUCCCACCUGACCCCAUGCCGAACUCAAAAGUGAAACGCCGUAGCGCCGAUGGUAGUGUGGGGUCUCCCCAUGCGAGAGUAGGGAACUGCCAGGC
rnacentral:rRNA from 1 species